ensembl:lncRNA
GAUAAAGGGAGCUAGGAGAAGGUUUGGAUGCUAUAAUAUUUAGAUCUAAAAUUUCUAAUAGUUAUUUGAUGACGCUGGGUCUCAUUUUUCUUGUAUCCAAAAUGAAAGCAUCAGAUCUAUUUGACAUUGAAUUUUUCUUCUUUCAUUAAAUCUCUCUGUAUGAUCUCACUCUCUGCAUGAAAGUAUUGCCAAAGACCAUCCUAUUACGGCAACAGCUAAGGCUGGCGAUCUGUGAUCUCAUCAUCUCAAUCAAGUCAAAGUAUAUGAAUGAAGCUCCUCAGGAGUUCUACCAGGUCCUCACAGUGAGUAGUGGAGAAAAAUCCACUUGUGCUUCUAGCAGGGGGAGGGCAAAAAAGAACGAAACACCAGACCAUUAUGUUCUUAACAAGACCUGCCCUCAGAAGAAAGUAUUUUACCAGAGCACAUACUAUUGGGAUUUUUUUCAGAGCCUAACCAACAUGGGAGAAAGGAAAUACCCAAAUUCCACCCACUCUAGCCUUCCACGUGGGGGAAAGGAAAUACUCAACUCCAGCUCACUCUAGCCCCCCUGCCCCACCUAAGAGGGAGGGGGAGACUGUAUCUUCCACUCAAUUUGUCUGUGAAUCUAAUAAAUAUAAUAAACCUAUUAAUUUGCUCUGAAAAAUAAAGUCUAUUUAAAAAGAAAAGACCUCACAGGUGACGUCACUCAACGGUGAAAGACUGAAAUGUUUUCCCCUAAGGUCAGGAACAGAACAAGGUGCCUCCUCUCACCACUGCUAGUCAACCUUGUGCUGGAAGAUAUAAAACCAAAACAAUUACCAAGAAAAAGAAAUAAAAGGCAUCCAAAUUUAAAGUAAGAAGUAAAACCAUCUCUUCCCAGAUGACUGGAUCCUAAAUGUAGAAAAUCCCAAAGAAUCAACCAAAAAAGAAAACAAAACUACUAUAGUUAAUAAACAAAUUCAGCAAAGUUGCAGGGUUCAACAUCACACACAAAUAUUAUUUUUGCUUCCAUACAUCAGAAACUAACCCUCUGAAAAGGAAGUUAAGAACACAAUUUCAUUUAUAAUAGCAUCCAAAUGAAUAUAAUACCUGAGAAUAAAUUUACUCAAAGAAGUGAAAGUAUUGUAUAAUGAAAACUACAAAACAUUGCUGAAAGAAAUGAAAGAAUACCUGAAUACGUGAAAAGACAUUUCACGUUCCUGGAUUGGCAGACAUAAUAUUGUUAAAUGGCAAUGCUAACCAAAGUGACCUACCAAUUCAAUGGAAUCUCUAUUAAAAUUCCAGUAGCCUGUUUUGCAGAAAAGCCAAUCCUCAAAUUCAUAUGAAUUACAAGGAGCCCCAGAGAACACAAACAAUACUGAAAAAAGAAGAAACUCAGUGUCAAAUCCAUUCAGUGGGGAAAUACAGUCUCUUCAGCAAAUGGUGCUGGGACAAAUGGUUUCUCCAAGCCAAAGAAUGAAGUGGGACUUCUACAUCACACCAUACACAGCAAAAACCAAACAAACCCAAAAGUGGAUCAGUAACCUAGAUAUAGGAUCAAAAAUCAUACAAUUCUUAUUAGAAAACAGGAAUAAAUCUUCAUCACCUAGAUUUGGCUAUGAAUUUUAGAUAUGACACCAAAAACAUGAGCAACAAAAGUAAAAAUUGAUAAUUUGGAUUUUAUCAAAAUUAAAAACUUUUGUGCAUCAGCGACAUUAUAAAGAAAGAACCUACAGAAUGGGAGAAAAUAUUUACAAAUCAUAUUUCUAAUAAGGUCCUAUAUCCAUAAUAUAUAAAGAAUCCUUACAACUCAACAACAAAAAGUCAAAAAUCCCAAUUAAAAAAUGGUCAAAGGACUUGAAUAUACAUUCCUCCAAAGAAAAUAUACAAAUAGCCAAUAAGUGCAUGCAAAGAUGCUCAAAAUAAUUAGUUAUUAGGGUGCUGAAAAAAACCACAAUGGAAUAUCACUUCACAUUCACUAAGAUUGCUAUAAUUUUUUAGAAAAUAGCAAGUGUUGGUAAGAACGUAGAGAAACUAGAACCCUAACACAUUGCUUGUGAGACUUUAAAAUGCUUCAUCUGCUAUUUUGUGGUUUCCUCAAAAUGUUAAACGUAGAAUUAUCAUAUGGUCCAGUAAGUCCACUCCUAGGCAUAUAUGCAAAAUAAUUGGCAACAGGUACUCAAACAAAUAGAUGUACACACAUAUUCACAACAACGCUAUUUCAGAAGAUGGAAGCAACACAAAUGUCCAUCAACACAUUAGUGGAUGCACAAAUUGUAUAUAUAUAGCUACAGAAAAAGAGAGAUCCAAAUCAUUUGCUCACGUUUUAAACAAAUGUGUUUGUAUUUUGUUUUGUUACAAAUUUGUAAGUUUUCUUUACACAUUCUGAAUACAAGUUGAUUGUCAGAUAAAUGUAUUAUAAAUAUGGCUUAGCUUUUAGUUUUAUUAACACAGUCUUUUAAUGACCAGCAGUUUUUAAUGUUAAUAAGAUCUAAUUUUUUUCUUUAUGGUUAAUGCUUUUACUAUCUCAUAUAAGAAAUCUUCACCUAACCCAAUAUCACAAAUAUAGUCACUUAUUUUUUAAGAGGGCUUAUGCUUUUAGCUUUUACAUUGAGAUCUAUAUUCUACCUGCUGUCAUUGUGUGUGAGUGUGACUUGAAGGAGAUGAAAGUUCAUUUUUGCAAUAUGGCUAUCCAAUUGUUCUGGCAACAUUUGUUGAAAAACUGUCCUUCCUCCAUAAAAUUACAUUGACACCUUGACUAUAUGCAUUCGACUAUUUUUGAACUUUCUCUUGCAUUUCAAAGAUCUGCAUAUCUAACCCUUUACCUGCUUCAUACUGUCAUUUUUACAAUAUCUUGAAAUAGGGUCUUAAAAUCAGUUCCUCUGAUUCACACUAGUAUCCCAACUCUUCACCUAUCUGGAAACUGUAGAUCCCAGGAAAACAUCAAUCCACAGGUUCUGACAUUCAUUUAUUCAUCCCUACUUUUUUUCCUUUCUGUCAUAUUUUUGAGGGUUGUGCUUGGAUUGUAACAAGAGAAAUAUAUAUUGAAAUAUAUUAAUGUGUACGUAUCCCCUUCAUUUCUGUUACAUGCUCAUCUCUCUGAGCACCAUCUGCUUAUCUGAAGGAAAUGUGCUGUGGUUAUUUUAAUUGCUACAGCAGAAACACAAAAAGAGAGAAUAGGUCAAGUUUUAAAUUUAAUUGCAAAAAGAGAGAUAUCUGAAGUCUCUCAAAGGUAAACUUUAAUGGACAGAAGUUUUUUCUAAAUCCUUUAUGCUACUUAGCAUAGCAUGAACCAAGAUUGGAAGUAUAAAAGAGAGAAUCAUAUUAUGGUCAAAAUUAGGAGUGUGGUUUUAAAACAUGCCUGCAAAUUCAUUGAUAUUUGUUCAUCAAAUAGUGCAGUUUAAUUCUCUUCCACUUAAAUAUAGGUCACUUUUUAUGAACCUCUGCUAAUAAAUAGAGUUAGCACAAGAGAAACUGCUUGACUUUUGAUGCUAGGUUAGGAAAGGCCUGAUUCUUUCUCUUGGGAUGUUCAUCUUGGCAACCCAAUCAUCAUAGUAUGAGCUGCCCGAGCCACACGGAGAGGACAUGUGUCAUAUUUCCCGAUAGCACUAUCUUAGUUAACAAUUUACAGCCAACAUCCACCAGGAGAUAUGUAAAUAAAUCAGCCUUCAGAUCAUUCCAGCAUCCAACUUCUGGCAUCUAGUGAUCCUCUCCUAAUGCUGAGUGAAGCAAAAAUAAGCUGUACUCUCAAAGCUCUGUCUAAAUUGCUGAUUUGUGAUUAAAAAAUGUUUUUUCUCUAUACACUGAAUAUUGAACUAGUUUAUUUCACACCAAUACAUACCUGGAACAGAUUUGGGUACCAGCAGUGGUGCUACUCCUGGUAUAGUAAAACUCUUAGAGCAGGUGAGAAUGGCUUAGGCCCAGGUGGUGGGAGAAACUGGAAGGACAUCGAGGAGAGUGUAAGUGAGAGCCUAAAAAGCCUCAGAGUCUGUUGAGUUCACAGGUCUUCGGAAACAGGGGAAUUGUCCUGGAGGAGCUGUACUGGAGCAACUGUGCAUGAAAAGACUCAUCCACCUCCGGACCUAAUUUAGACAAUGAAAUAUUGAACUUUAAGGUGAACAUUAUUCCAUAAUAAAUGAGACUUUCUUGGGAUCAUGGGAAAGGGGUAAGUAUAUUUUACAUGUGGGAAGAAUAAGACAGAUUAUGAUAAUGUUAAAACAUGCCUGCAAACUCAUUGGCAUUUCUCCCCACCAAAAGAUGGAUUCUAAUUUCCCUCCUUUUGUGUAUGACCUGGUCUUAAUGACUAGCUUCUAAUUAAUCAGUGUCAGGGAAAUGACGAUUUAUAAAUUUCAAGGCUGGCUUCAAAAAGGCAGAGCCCCUUCUGUCUUUCUUCUCCCUCUUAGAAUAUUUAAACUUUGUACUCAGCAAUGAACGUUUAAGGAAGUAAAGAUAAUGUGGAGAGACCAGAGACCAGGUGUAGGUGUUUUGACUGGCACACACCCCUCUAUUUAAGUUCCCAGGCAAGAGUCAGUACCAAUCACUAGUCAUGUGAUUCACUUCAUAUAUGUAUCUGCCAUUUUAGAGAGACAGAAAGGAUGGAACUCUGAGUUACCACAUAUCCAGUUGUCCAAAAGAAUAAUUUAUAGUGAAAGAAGAAUUGUUUAAUCAAAAGAUUAUUUAAAAUGGCAAGGACACAUUUCUCCACUACAGAGCUCUGUGAUGGCUUACAAAAGAGAUCAGCUCAGCUCUGGAGGAAAGAAAAAAGAAUUUUUUUGCAUAUAUCUGAGUUCAUUUCAGUAGAGCUGCAAUCCCACUGCAAGUUUUGAAUUCAUAUUUUGAAUGUUCAGUGAAGAUUCACAAGUAUAUUUUGCUAAAAUAUGCCUAUACCUUAUGCUAUGCAAGAUUUUAUGGUUUAUUAAACCAAAACUGCGUUAUAAUUAUGCAACAUAAAGAUUAAAAUUAUGGCUUUAGUUAAACACAUAUGCUCCACAUUACAUAAAUAACAAAUCACAGACUAAGAACUUUCAGUGAUCUGAGGAGCAUAAACAGGAUAUUAAGAACAGCAUAUUAGCAUAGAAAUAAAGAAUCACUAUCUCUUCCAAAGAAGUGAAGGAAAUAUCUGGAAGGAUAUAAAAAUCUGUCAUGCACAGAUAUAAAAGUACUCAAAGUGAUUUCUUGUAAACCACUAAAUAGUUUACAAACUCUUUGAUGAAAGAAAGAAAAAGAAUGGAUCUUCUAAUUCUUACGUAUGUUAAAGUACUUGAUAGUUUCCUGUUCAGUUGGAAAUACAAAGAUUGCCAUCUAAACAGUCACUCUUUUUUAAUAUCUUUGUUUCUCCUUGUCUCUGUUGUCUUUUACCUAAUUUGCGCAUCCUCAUUCUCUUCUAUUGGCGUUUUAAGCUUGUUUAGGAAUAGGGCAAAAUAUAUAGGGUGACCAGAAUAACUUGUGUACAUAUAGUCUCACAUUACACUCAAGUUCCAAACUCCUAAUGCCUUCCAUUUUCUAGUUUUGCUGUUUUGGGUUGUUAAUAAAAAGGUGAUAGGUUUCAGGAAUCUCUAAACUGUUGCACCCUAUUGUUUGAAGAAAACAGUAAGAGUGUAAGGAGGAAAGAAACCUGAUUGGCUCUAAAAAAGACACUCAGAUUUCAGAUUAUGAGGAAAAUGAAAGCAUUAUACUAAAGUGAACAAAAUUUCCUUAACUCCCGAAUCUCUAAGUGCCCCCUACCCUCCGUAUUCACCUCUGUGCUUCCCUGUUCUCCCUUCUCUUACUUCCGUGUAUAUGCAGAAUUUUUCUUAACUUGGGGAGUGCUACUAGGAUGAAUGUGUUUACCAUUACAUGCUUCUUAGGAUGCACGGCAUUUUAGAUUCUCUAGAUUCAGGCUCUGUAAAGAAGAAAAGAACAAUCAACAAAACUGCUGAACUUAAAAGAAAAAAAAAAAGCUAAAGCUAAUUAGCAAACAGUUGUAAAUGGGUUUAUUUACUUCAGGACCCUUGAUUUCUUCCGGCUGUGCUUUAACUUCCCUACCCUGAUUUCUAUAUCCAUCAUAUUUCAUUUCUCUGAAAUCAGCUUAUGCACUUAAUGGUCCAGACUGGGCAAUCACUGUUGAUUGAAAUCAACUUCAAAUUGAUGCAAGAGGUCCUCUGUUGCUCCAAGAACCAGCUGUGUAAAUCUAAGAGAAAGAUAACUGUCAGCUUUUUCCUUAAUUAUG